rnacentral:rRNA from 1 species
GAUUGCCCCAGUAACGGCGAGUGAAGCGGCAACAGCUCAGAUUUGAAAUCUGGCCCUUACGGGGUCCGAGUUGUAAUCUGUAGAGGAUGCUUUUGGCGACGCGCCUUCCGAGUCCCCUGGAACGGGGCGCCAGAGAGGGUGAGAGCCCCGUAUGGUUGGACGCCGAACCUCUGUAAAGCUCCUUCGACGAGUCGAGUAGUUUGGGAAUGCUGCUCAAAAUGGGAGGUAAAUUUCUUCUAAAGCUAAAUACCGGCCAGAGACCGAUAGCGCACAAGUAGAGUGAUCGAAAGAUGAAAAGCACUUUGAAAAGAGGGUCAAAUAGCACGUGAAAUUGCUGAAAGGGAAGCGCUUGUGACCAGACUUGCGCCCGGUUGAUCAUCCAGCGUUCUCGCUGGUGCACUCUGCCGGGUUCAGGCCAGCAUCGGCUCUCCCAGGGGGAUAAAGGUCGCGGGAACGUAGCUCUCUCCGGGGAGUGUUAUAGCCCGUGGCGGAAUGCCCUUAGGGGGGGCCGAGGCUCGCGUUCGCAAGGAUGCUGGCGUAAUGGUCACCAGCGACCCGUCUUGAAACACGGACCAAGGAGUCAAGCAUUAGGGCGAGUCUUUGGGUGUAAAACCCGCAGGCGCAAUGAAAGUGAACGGAGGUGAGAGCUUCGGCGCAUCAUCGACCGAUCCUGAUGUUCUCGGAUGGAUUUGAGUAAGAGCCUUACCGCUUGGACCCGAAAGAUGGUGAACUAUGCCUGAAUAGGGUGAAGCCAGAGGAAACUCUGGUGGAGGCUCGCAGCGGUUCUGACGUGCAAAUCGAUCGUCAAAUUUGGGCAUGGGGGCGAAAGACUAAUCGAACCAUUAACUACUACUAGGUGGUUAAGAGGCCCGGUCGAGAAGAUCAGGCCUAGUUAUUGGCGCUAUAGUUGCCAGUAGCGACACUGUCAAACUGCCGGGGACUGCCUGACCGACACCUAAGCUACCGCUGACCCGCCGAAAGGCGGGCUCGGCACCGGGUCUAACGAGCCCGGGUACGGUAAAAAUGCUUGGGUUAGGGCAUAUCCGCAGCCAACUCCUCGUGGUCCGCACCCCUCCAGGCGGGACCAGUGGAGGCAGUUCACAGACUAGAUGGCAGUGGGUCCGGCGGCGUAAGAGCUGGCCGGGCUUAAGAUAUAGUCGUUGGCGCCCAAGAAAUUGGGGCUGCGGUCAGCUAGUAGCUGGUUACCGCCGAAGUUUCCCUCAGGAUAGCAGUGUUGUCUUCAGUUUUAUGAGGUAAAGCGAAUGAUUAGGGACUCGGGGGCGCUAUUUAGCCUUCAUCCAUUCUCAAACUUUAAAUAUGUAAGAAGCCCUUGUUACUUAGUUGAACGUGGGCAUUCGAAUGUACCAACACUAGUGGGCCAUUUUUGGUAAGCAGAACUGGCGAUGCGGGAUGAACCGAACGCGGAGUUAAGGUGCCAGAGUGGACGCUCAUCAGACACCACAAAAGGCGUUGAUACAUCUUGACAGCAGGACGGUGGCCAUGGAAGUCGGAAUCCGCUAAGGACUGUGUAACAACUCACCUGCCGAAUGUAUCAGCCCUGAAAAUGGAUGGCGCUCAAGCGUCCCACCCAUACUCCGCCCUCAGGGUAGAAACGACGCCCUGAGGAGUAGGCGGCCGUGGGGAUGGUGACGAA